GACGAACGCUGGCGGCGUGCUUAAUACAUGCAAGUCGAGCGGAGCGGCGAACGGGUGAGUAACGCGUCAGUAACUGCCCCCCUCUCUGGGAUAACAGUUGGAAACGGCUGCUCAUACCGGACAGUGGGGGGUGGCUCGCGUCCUAUCAGCUUGUUGGUGGGGUAGUGGCCUACCAAGGCGACGACGGGUAGCCGGCCUGAGAGGGCGAACGGCCACAUAGGCCUGAGAUACGGCCCAAAGUACGACGGGAGGCAGCAGUGGGGGAUAUUGCACAAUGGGCGAAAGCCUGAUGCAGCGACGCCGCGUGGGGGAUGAAGGUUUUCGGGUUGUAUAUCGCUAUCGGACAAGCCUGGGUAGGUAGAGAAGAAGCGCCGGCUAACUACGUGCCAGCAGCCGCGGUAAUAC
rnacentral:rRNA from 1 species